GGUUACUGGCCAAACCAACCUGGCUAUGCCCGAUCUCGUCUGAUCUCGGAAGCUAAGCAGGUUUGGGCCUGGUUAGUACUUGGAUGGGAGACUGCUUGGGAAUACCAGGUGAUGUGAGAU
rnacentral:rRNA from 1 species